AUAAAGAUGCAUCAGGACUUGAAAACUCUCUUAGAUCGUGGUGGUUACUCCCAAUGUGAAGCCCAUGGACAGGCUGAGAGGAGAGAGAGAGUUAAACUGAAACUUCCUAAUUAAGAACAAUUAAUAUUACCCAAAUUAUCAGCCAAGAUGUAAGGAAUGGGGAACGUCCACCUGGUGUUUGGGUCUCUCAGGCCAUUUCUGGAUUUCUGUGAAAACAAAGGUAAAGGAACUACAGUGGAACUCCUCACUGGAACAGAUUAUAGAUGAGAUUUCUCUCAUCUCCUUCACAGUGCCCAUCCCAGGGCUGGCCGCAGAGCAGAGACUCACACCCAGUGGUACUGCCUGUCCUGAGGAACUUAUUGCAUCAUUGACAGGUACUCACCUGCAAGAGGAUGUCCCCUUGAAAGAGGUCCAAGCCUGCAGCUGGAAGUGGAAUUUUUUUUAAAAAAAGAAUAUUUGAGUGAACAUUAUUAAAAGGCAUCUUUCAUAAUAAAAUUAAUCUUUGCCAUUAUAAA